GAUGAACGCUAGCGGCAGGCCUAAUACAUGCAAGUCAAGGGGCCAGCAAUGGCACCGGCGCACGGGUGCGUAACACGUACACAACAUACCUUUAAGUGGGAGAUAGCAUCGGGAAACUGGUGGUAAUACCCCAUAAUAUUGCGAUGCGGCAUCACAUUGCAAUUAAAGUUUCGACGCUUAAAAGAUUGGUGUGCGUCCGAUUAGCUAGUUGGCGGGGUAACGGCCCACCAAGGCUACGAUCGGUAGGGGGUGUGAGAGCAUGACCCCCCACAUGGGUACUGAGACACGGACCCAACUCCUACGGGAGGCAGCAGUAAGGAAUAUUGGACAAUGGACGAAAGUCUGAUCCAGCCAUGCCGCGUGCAGGAUGAAGGCGCUCAGCGUUGUAAACUGCUUUUGGAUGGGAAUAAUAACCUCGACGUGUCGGGGCUUGAAGGUACCAUCAGAAUAAGCACCGGCUAACUCCGUGCCAGCAGCCGCGGUAAAGUCGAUA
rnacentral:rRNA from 1 species